UUGACCUCGGAUCAGGUAGGAAUACCCGAUCAGGUAGGAAUACCCGCUGAAC
rnacentral:rRNA from 1 species